AUUGAACGCUGGCGGCAGGCUUAACACAUGCAAGUCGAACGAGUGGCGGACGGGUGAGUAAUGCUUGGGAAUCUAGCUUACGGAGGGGGAUAACUACGGGAAACUGUAGCUAAUACCGCAUACCAUAGGAUGAGCCCAAGUGGGUUUAGGUAGUUGGUGAGGUAAAGGCUCACCAAGCCGAGGAUCUCUAGCUGGUUGGAGAGGAUGAACAGCCACACUGGGACUGAGACACGGCCCAGACUCCUACGGGAGGCAGCAGUGGAGAAUCUUGCGCAAUGGGGGCAACCUGACGCAGCCAUGCCGCGUGAAUGAAGAAGGCCUUCGGGUUGUAAAGUUCUUUCGGUAGCGAAGCGUUAACUACAGAAGAAGCACCGGCUAACUCCGUGCCAGCAGCCGCGGUAAUAC
rnacentral:rRNA from 1 species